AUUUAACCUACGUUCGAUUUAUAAUUUUGAAUAGAGAAAAAUUAGAUGAUACACUUUACAUUAUGAGUAUGAUUUCUAAUGAAAAUGUGUUUACGGAAAGAAAAAUAUGGUAACAUCAUAGUAAAACCAAUACAUUCUUCGCUGCGCUCAGAAUCUAAAACAACUUAAUUUUAAAAAAAUGAUUAGCGUUAUUGAACUGACAUAAUCAGUGAAAAAAAAAAUGUCCAAACUUACAUGCUCUUCAGUCUAAAGUUACAUUUUGUUAAUAUAUUUUCAAAUCUAAAAAUUAAAAAAAAAAAAAUCGAAUUUUGUAGUCGCAAGAAUUAUAUUGUUUCGGAGUAUUAAUUUUAUAACACAUAAUCUGUGAAGAAAUAUACAUUUUUAUUUUUUUGUCUACGGAUAUUACUGCGAAUUUUUAUAAUUUAAAAUAUUUUUAACCAGGCGAAUUAAAA